rnacentral:rRNA from 1 species
UACGUAGGGACCAAGCGUUGUUCGGAUUUACUGGGCGUAAGGGGCGCGUAGGCGGCUUAACAAGUCACUUGUGAAAUCUCCGGGCUUAACUCGGAACGGCCAAGUGAAACUGUCAAGCUAGAGUGCAGAAGGGGCAAUCGGAAUUCUUGGUGUAGCGGUGAAAUGCGUAGAUAUCAAGAGGAACACCUGAGGUGAAGACGGGUUGCUGGGCUGACACUGACGCUGAGGCGCGAAAGCCAGGGGAGCAAACGGG